ACGGGAGCGCAGCGCACAGCUCAGUAACACACGGCUAAUCUGCCCUUGGGACCGGAACACCCCCGGGAAACUGGGGCUAAUUCUCGAUAGGUGAAGAACUCUGGAAUGAGUCUUUGCCAAAAAGACGUUUACGUUAUGCUCGGAGGCGUCGCCCAAGGAUGAGGCCGCGACCGAUCAGGUUGUUGGUGAGGUAAUGGCUCACCAAGCCUUUUACCGGUGCGGGCCGUGAGAGC
rnacentral:rRNA from 1 species